rnacentral:misc_RNA from 1 species
GAAAAACCAGUCAGCCACAAAGACUUGCAAGUAGGGCCUAAACCAACAUAAGGUAAAAAACUGAAAAAAAAAUAUUCCAGUUCUAUGCUACACACAACACAACAUUAUGAAACAAAAUUGUUUAAAUACUGAUAACAACUAUAGGAUGUCCAUUAUUAGAUUCACAACAUAACCACCUAGCACAAGCUACGCUCCUGGCACGACCAAGACGUUGGGGAGUAACUUAUUCUGGCUUCCAUCUCGAGCCGAGAAAUUCUGGACAGAACCCCUCCCGUCGUCACCUGUUCCCACCCUAAAAAAGGAAAGGUAAGAAAAGACUAAACAUCACGGGGGUUCAAUGAUUUCUGCCCAUCAGUCUCAACCUUGGUGGGGCAUAAGACAGAGUUACCAAAUACAUGUGCCCGAGGAAGUAACAGUUCCCACUGAAACUGCCGAAGGGAACCCAAGCCAGCCCGAAUACGUUACUAAAAUAGUACACAAAGGGAAAAACAAAAGACAAACAAAACCCUCCCCU